rnacentral:tRNA from 1 species
GCGGCAGUAGCUCAAUGGUAGAGUACCACCUUGCCAUGGUGGGUGUUGAGAGUUCGAGUCUCUUCUGCCGCUCCA